rnacentral:misc_RNA from 1 species
UGGGAUUAAGAUUUAGUUGUUGUUGUUGGUUUUUCUGGCUUGGGACAGUUUUCAGGUUUCUGGUUUUUUUUUUUUUAACACACCUAGGAAAGACCAUUAAAAUUGCCAAAGAAUAGAAAUGAUUCUUUCCCAAAUGAUCAUUAAAACAAGAUGGAAAUAGAAAAUCAGAGCCUGGUUUCAACAUUUGGUUCUCAUCUCCACCAAAACCAUCCUUGGUCAGUUUCUAAAGAGAAACUUUGCACUAGUAUCUUGUUCAAAGAACCUCUCACUUCUGAUGCUCUUUAAUAAAUACCCAGAUUGCUAAUUCUUUGAAACCUGCUGUAAAAAUAUUUAACUUCGAACCAAAUAGUUUAUUGUUGUUUAGGAUUAAGGCUUAGUUAUUGCUAUUAUUGUUAUUUGAACCAACGGCGCUAAGUAAAAACGAUGUUAAUAUUUAAACUUAUGUAUGCAUAAUGUGGCACUGAUCCAGCAUGUCAAAUAAAAUCAUAUAACAUAUAUUUGAAACUAACAAAGAUAAUA